rnacentral:rRNA from 1 species
AACGAACGCUGGCGGCAUGCCUAACACAUGCAAGUCGAACGAGAUCUUCGGGUCUAGUGGCGCACGGGUGCGUAACGCGUGGGAAUCUGCCCUUUGGUUCGGAAUAACAGUUGGAAGCGACCGCUAAUACCGGAUGAUGACGAAAGUCCAAAGAUUUAUCGCCAGAGGAUGAGCCCGCGUAGGAUUAGCUAGUUGGUGUGGUAAAGGCGCACCAAGGCGACGAUCCUUAGCUGGUCUGAGAGGAUGAUCAGCCACACUGGGACUGAGACACGGCCCAGACUCCUACGGGAGGCAGCAGUGGGGAAUAUUGGACAAUGGGCGAAAGCCUGAUCCAGCAAUGCCGCGUGAGUGAUGAUGGCCUUAGGGUUGUAAAGCUCUUUUACCCGGGAUGAUAAUGACAGUACCGGGAGAAUAAGCUCCGGCUAACUCCGUGCCAGCAGCCGCCGCCG